UACGUAGGGUGCAAGCGUUAAUCGGAAUUACUGGGCGUAAAGCGUGCGCAGGCGGUUGUGUAAGACAGAUGUGAAAUCCCCGGGCUCAACCUGGGAACUGCAUUUGUGACUGCACAGCUGGAGUGCGGCAGAGGGGGAUGGAAUUCCGCGUGUAGCAGUGAAAUGCGUAGAUAUCGAGAGGAACACCAGUGGCGAAGGCGAGUCCCUGGACAUCUCCUGACACUGAGGCACGAAAGCUAGGGGAGCAAACAGG
rnacentral:rRNA from 1 species